rnacentral:rRNA from 1 species
CAGCAGCCGCGGUAAUACGGAGGGAGCUAGCGUUGUUCGGAAUUACUGGGCGUAAAGCGCGCGUAGGCGGUUACUCAAGUCAGAGGUGAAAGCCCGGGGCUCAACCCCGGAACUGCCUUUGAAACUAGGUGACUAGAAUCUUGGAGAGGUCAGUGGAAUUCCGAGUGUAGAGGUGAAAUUCGUAGAUAUUCGGAAGAACACCAGUGGCGAAGGCGACUGACUGGACAAGUAUUGACGCUGAGGUGCGAAAGCGUGGGGAGCAAACAGGAUUAGAUACCCCGUAGUCCCUGUCUCUUAUACA